GAUGAAGAACGUAGCGAAAUGCGAUAAGUAAUGCGAAUUGCAGAAUUUCCGUGAGUCAUCGAAUCUUUGAACGCACAUUGCGCCCACUGGUAUUCCGGUGGGCAUGCCUGUUCGAGCGUCAUUAUCCUCCCUCAAACCUCGGGUUUGGUGUUGGACCCAAGUUGUGUGAACAACUGGUCUUAAAGACAAUGACGGCGUCCGUGGGACCCUCGGUGCAACGAGCUUUUAGGAGCACGCGUCGAGUUUCAAGGACCCUCCGGGCCGGUCUCCUUUACCAUUUUACAAGGUUGACCUCGGAUCAGGUAGGAAUACCCGCUGAACUUAAGCAUAUCAAUAAGCGGAGGA
rnacentral:misc_RNA from 1 species